GGCCUAGAAAAUGCGUUAUGUAUCUCUUUUGCAAAUUCAAAGCAAUCGCCAAACAUUACAUUAUCCGAUGAAAUGGGGCUCUUAAAAGUAAUUUAUGGGCGAAACUCUUGAUUGAGUUAUAAAGGAACCAAUUCCCAUUCCAGACCCGAUCAAAAGUGCCUGAGGUUAAUAAUGCCAACAAACUACUACACUAAGGGAUUGAUUUACCCAUUGAUUGGCCGAUUGGACGAUAUUGGUGAGGCUCAAUCCAAAUUUUAAGGUCUUUCGUUACUGGAGAGGAUUCACUGUCACUGGACGAUUUGGAUUUGCCGCCUUUUUUGAAUUCUCUCGCGGUUUCUGCUCUGGGUAAACAAGGGCUUGAGAUUUUCCGAGGAGUUUUCCCGCGGACAGAGGAAGAAGAGUCUGCUGGAUAGAUCUCCUCGUAAUGGGAGAUCAGUUCCCGGAUUCUGCUCUUCCUGAUCUCUUUGAAUGUGAUUGAAUUCCCGUGAAAUGUAUGGCUGGGCAUGGUUUCUACCAGACGUCUCCUCAGAACACCAACGUGAGAUGGAAAACGCCCUAAAUUAGUUGAUGCUUGUCAUGUCUAAACUGUGCCAGGUUUGUACCAGGUUCAUUUUUGGUUCCUUCCGUCAUAAUUGCCGACAAUUUGUCAACCUAGGCUCCAUGACAUGGAAUGAGAUGGUGAUUCUGUGUUCACACCUCCAGAAAUGGAUCCAGUUAUUUGGCAAGAUCAGGCGGAGAAUAGAAAAUCAAUCUUCGGGCCAUCAAUGCCCAAGAUCGUCUCCGAGAACCCUAAUUGGACGGAAAGGCAGUGGAACUGGCAGACCUUCACUUACCAUCACUGCGCUUGAUGAUCUGUGAAGGCAAGAAGGUGUCUAUUAAUCUUGGACUCAUUCAACGUGGGUCGAACACGCACUAGUGAGAAAUUAGCAUAGCCUCAUGACUUGGGGUCGUUCUCGGAGCUCUGUUGACUUCAAAUGAGAGCAAAGAAAGUUCUCAGCGAGCCAGUCCACGAAAUAAGGAACAAACUCCCGUCCGAUUCAAUUAAAUCCACGACUUUCAACUACACUUGAGCCCCUUUUCGGUCGUUCAGGAAAUGUUCCCACCAUAAAUAUACGAGAAUUGAGGUUAAUCAUUAUUGAGAGAACCAUGAUCUAACGUUUCCUCGAUCUUCCUGCCUUCAAAUGAACUUGGUGGCCCUCGCGAAAAUGAUCUUGCAUACACGUACGAGUACACCGCCAAUGAUUAUUACCCAACUAGUGAACAAGAACUAGUUGCUAUUGGUGAUUGCUAUCAUUUCCUGAAUGUAGAAUGUACUCCUACUUUUCAGUUCGUUUGCGGAAUGGAGGUGAGAACAAGUUUCCAUUUGUCAUAAUUAGCUGUCACCGCCUUCCUCUUCGUUGGGGAGUCAUAUUGCGGGUUUCACGACUGAAGUGCUUGAUGCAUGUUUCGUAUACCCAUUUGAGAGUGUUGGCAUUAAUAAGCGGUCGUUGUUCCUGAUAAAACAAUCAUUUCAUCAUCAAGCUCUGUGUUGUCGUCGUCCGAGGCAUCACCAAGAGACGUUCGAAGGCAAAUCGUGUCUAAUGAUUCAUGAUUGAAAUCGUGGAAGGUGUGUCAUAAUGAAAAACCCAACCACAGAUAGUGCACAAUCAGGGAUGACGUUCUAAAAACUUAGUUUCCAAACCUCUAAACGGCCAUAGAGUAAUGUAUUCAGGUCUGGGCCAAACUCUAUGGAAUUGUAUAUCUUUCUUGACUUCAUGGCCAAAUCUUACGGGGAAAUGAGAAUGCAGUAGAAAAGUAGGGGGACGAAGAAGACUGGUAAAAAAUAAUAUGGCGGUUCUUUGAUGAAUAAUUGUGCUUUUGGAAGCUCUUUCAAUUGAAAGGGGAAGUGAGGCUUCCUCGUGAAUAAGGAAUCUUCUAUUGAAGGCAAAGCCAAAACCGCAAAUCAUGACAUAAUCAUCAAUAAGUCAAUGUAAUAGAGCCAAUAGUUGUGGCAGGCUUGGAAUGUGCUUCCUUUGCUAAACAUCCUCAAUCGAAAGCGCCUCG